rnacentral:lncRNA from 1 species
UCUGAAUUGGAAGUUCCUUUUUCAGGAAGAGUAAAGGUGACUUUUAAGUCAGAUUCACUGGUCUGAUUUUCAUACUGCUAGAAUGCUUGCAUGGAAAUGCGUCACAUCAGUUAUGAACCUUUACAAUAAAACAUGACACCUGAAAUUCAGGAACAUGAUUCGCAAAGGAAAAGCCUAUUACAAUAACAAAGUUGUUGGCUGUCUUUUGCAAUGACUUUAUGGCACUGGUUUUACCAUGAUAGAGGAAUGGAAGGUGAUUUUCAGUCGUGGGAUAUAGGACUUCCUUCAAUGGUGGCUGCAGAUGGGGGGUUUCUAGAAGUUUAACACUGUCCAGAAAAAUCACUUUCAAACAAUUUCAUUGUGCUUUG